AGACCCGAAACCCGGUGAUCUAGCCAUGGGCAGGUUGAAGGUUGGGUAACACUAACUGGAGGACCGAACCGACUAAUGUUGAAAAAUUAGCGGAUGACCUGUGGCUGGGGGUGAAAGGCCAAUCAAACCGGGAGAUAGCUGGUUCUCCCCGAAAGCUAUUUAGGUAGCGCCUCGUGAAUUCAUCUCCGGGGGUAGAGCACUGUUUCGGCUAGGGGGCCAUCCCGGCUUACCAACCCGAUGCAAACUGCGAAUACCGGAGAAUGUUAUCACGGGAGACACACGGCGGGUGCUAACGUCCGUCGUGAAGAGGGAAACAACCCAGACCGCCAGCUAAGGUCCCAAAGUCAUGGUUAAGUGGGAAACGAUGUGGGAAGGCCCAGACAGCCAGGAUGUUGGCUUAGAAGCAGCCAUCAUUUAAAGAAAGCGUAAUAGCUCACUGGUCGAGUCGGCCUGCGCGGAAGAUGUAACGGGGCUAAACCAUGCACCGAAGCUGCGGCAGCGAACGUAUCACCCAAGACAACUUUACGGAGUUGACGAUUGACGGAGCGAAGCGACGUCAAAGCGUUCAUUAAAGUCGAGUUGGCUUAGGGAUACGUUCGUUGGGUAGGGGAGCGUUCUGUAAGCCUGUGAAGGUGUGUCGUGAGGCAUGCUGGAGGUAUCAGAAGUGCGAAUGCUGACAUAAGUAACGAUAAAGCGGGUGAAAAGCCCGCUCGCCGGAAGACCAAGGGUUCCUGUCCAACGUUAAUCGGGGCAGGGUGAGUCGACCCCUAAGGCGAGGCCGAAAGGCGUAGUCGAUGGGAAACGGGUUAAUAUUCCCGUACUUGGUGUUACUGCGAAGGGGGGACGGAGAAGGCUAUGUUGGCCGGGCGACGGUUGUCCCGGUUUAAGCGUGUAGGUGUGUGUUCCAGGUAAAUCCGGUUCACUUUAACACUGAGGCGUGACGACGAGGCACUACGGUGCUGAAGCAACAAAUGCCCUGCUUCCAGGAAAAGCCUCUAAGCAUCAGGUAACAUCAAAUCGUACCCCAAACCGACACAGGUGGUCAGGUAGAGAAUACCAAGGCGCUUGAGAGAAC
rnacentral:rRNA from 2 species